GACGAACUCUGGCGGCGUGCCUAAUACAUGCUAAUCGAACGAAGCUGAUUUAACUGGUGCUUGCACCGACGUAAAAAACUUAUUGGCGAACGGGUGAGUAACACGUGGGUAACCUGCCCCAAAGAGGAGGAGAACAUUUGGAAACAGAUGCUCAUACCGCAUAACAACAGACACCACAUGGAUUCUGUGUCAAAGCUGUCAUCGUACAGCACUUUGCGAUGUACCAGCGGCGUAUUAGCUAGUUGGUAAGGUAACGGCUUACCAAGGCAAUGAUACGUGGCCGAACUGAGAGGUUGAUUGGCCACAUUGGGACUGAGACACGGCCCAAACUACUACGGGAGGCAGCAGUAGGGAAUCUUCCACAAUGGACGAAAGUCUGAUGGAGCAACGCCGCGUGAGUGAAGAAGGUUUUCGGAUCGUAAAACUCUGUUGUCAGAGAAGAACGUGUGCGAGAGUAACUGUUCGUGCAGUGACGGUAUCUGGCCAGAAAGCCACGGCUAACUACGUGCCAGCAGCCGCCGUAA
rnacentral:rRNA from 1 species